rnacentral:rRNA from 1 species
UACAGAGGUCCCAAGCGUUGUUCGGAUUCAUUGGGCGUAAAGGGUGCGUAGGCGGCGCGGUAAGUCGGGUGUGAAAUCUCGGAGCUUAACUCCGAAACUGCAUUUGAUACUGCCGUGCUUGAGGACUGGAGAGGAGACUGGAAUUUACGGUGUAGCGGUGAAAUGCGUAGAUAUCGGAAGGAACACCGGUGGCGAAAGCGGCGCGCUGGACCUCUUCUGACGCUGAGGCGCGAAAGCCAGGGGAGCAAACGGG